AACACUCCCACGCGCACUUUAUUAAGUACGGAAGGACAGGUCACAACAGGGGUGGAGGUGGCGGGGAAGGCCCAGCCCCCACCCACCAUCACUGGCACACAAUAAAUAAAUAAGUAAAUAGCCAAGUGGGCACGGGAGAGAGGUGGUACUGAAAACACUGACCGCACAGGGGGACACGAAAGCCCCCCUUCGAGCUGUGGCCAUCAACGCUGUACGGGUACCAUGACCAGGAAAGGGUGGGGCUUGGCCACAGAAGCCCCAGAGCAUCACAAGUCUUUGUAAAGGAGAGGUGUCUUUAGGACGUGGACCACUCUUAUUUACUGACUGAAACCUGGACCCCUAGCUGGUCCCGUGAGACCCAGAUUAUCAAGGGGCCACUGUCUCUCAGGCUUCUGGACUGUUCUACUGAGGAUCUAAAAGACCACUGGGUCACUAUCACUUGGGGUCCUGAUGGGUCCACCCAGGGACCUAGGACAUGCGAGGGUCAUCGUCACUUAGGCUUCCGAUUGGUCCACUCGGGCUCCAGGACGUGAAAGGGUCACUAUUACUUAGGAACCUAAACUGGUACCCCACAGGACCCAACAUUGAUGAGUCACUAUCACUUAGCCUUUGGAUUGGUCCACCCAGGACAAUAAGGGUUGUGGUUCCCUAGACCUCUGGUUGACAAGGACCCAAGGGCCAGGACCUGAGGGGCAGAGAGAGCUCUAGAAGCCCCAGGGAAGGGGGAGAAGACUAAGUACUCAGGGAUAGAGGGAAUCUUCAGCAGGCACCAGGGCCCAGAUUUCAAGGAGGGGAGGUGACAGGGAAGAAAUAAGGCCACCUGGCUGGGUCAGGCCAAGAUGAAUCCAUAGGGGACCAGCUUCUGGGGCAGCAAAGAGUGCCCAGCCACUGCUGGGAGGGGGUUGCAAGGGCCCUCAAACCUUCCCCGGGUCCCAGCCCCACCCCGGUGCAGAACUGGACCAAGGAGCCGGUUGUGCUUAACAUGGCUCGUGACCCAUCGCCUCCACCUACGGGAUCAGGGAGUGGGGAGGGGUGGGCCUGUGGCUGCAGGUGCAGUGGGCUCAGUCCUCCAACCCCUCUGUCAAGUCUGCGAUGCUCUCCACAUAGUAAUGGGGCACGAGGUCGUGCUGGCCGGCCGCUAGGUAGGCCUGGGCCUCUUCUAGGCGGGAGACUCCUGUGAGCGUGAGCACAGUGGUCAUGCCGCAGCGGUGGCCAAAGAGGAUGUCGGUCUCCAGGCGGUCACCCACCAUAAGCGUGCGUGCGGGGUCGAUGCUGAAGUUCUCCGUGAUGCACUCGAACAUGUAGGGGCUGGGCUUGCCCACCACCAGGGCCUGGCGUCCCGAGGCUGUCUCCACUGCAGCGGCCAGGCUCCCGGUGCCUGGGUCCGGCUGCCGUCGCUCAGCGGGUGCCAUGGGUCACGGUCGGUGGCCACGAGUAGGCACUCGGGGUCGCGCAGGUGCGCGCACGCCUCCCUCAGCUUGGCGAAGGAGAAGUGCUCGUCGUAGCCCACAAGCACGGCGCGCACGCGCGGGGCCGCGCCGUCCCCCGCGCUCGGGUCCCCGGCCAGGCGCAGCCCCGCGGCGCGCAGCUCGGCGCGCAGCCCCUCGCCGCCCAGCACGAACACGGCGCCCGGCGCGUCCGGAGGCCCGGGCAGGCGCUGGCGCAGCAGGCGCGCGGCGCACAGCGCGGAGCUGAAGAGCUGCUCGGCGCGCAGCCCCCCGAAGCCGAGGCGCGCGAAGCGCAGGGCCAGCUCGGGCCGCGCGCGCCGGCUGUUGUUGCUCACAAACAGAGCCGCCUUGCCGGCCCGCGCCAGCCGCUCCAGCAGCUCCGGGGCGCCCGGCACGGCGCGCUCGCCGUUCCACAGCACCCCGUCACAGUCGAACAGGACCCCCUGCGCCCGGCCCAGCACGUCGCGCAGGGCCGCUCCGCGCAGCCUCUCGCAGCGCGCCAUGCAGCCGGCCG
rnacentral:lncRNA from 1 species